GUGUUGUAUGAAAGGAGAGAUGGUGACAAGGAUGAAGACAAGGGUGGAAGGGGCCCUUGGGUCUGACAACAUGCAUAUGGUUAAGGCACUGCCAAGAACUUCAUGAAACCUAACCACUAUUUUUG
rnacentral:ncRNA from 1 species